rnacentral:rRNA from 1 species
UAUGUGAUCGUCUCUCGCAUAUCAAUAAGCGGAGGAAAAGAAACUAACAAGGAUUCCCCUAGUAACGGCGAGUGAAGCGGGAAGAGCUCAAAUUUGAAAUCUUAAGGGUUUCCCUUUACGAAUUGUAGUUUAAAGAAGUGUUUUCUGUUGAGGUUUUGGUAAAAGUUCUUUGGAAUAGGACAUCAUAGAGGGUGAGAAUCCCGUAUUUGACCAUUUACUUUCAGCUUUGUGAUACACUUUCAAAGAGUCGGAUUGUUUGGGAAUGCAGUCCAAAAUGGGUGGUAAAUUUCAUCUAAAGCUAAAUAUUGGCGAGAGACCGAUAGCGAACAAGUACCGUGAGGGAAAGAUGAAAAGAACUUUGAAAAGAGAGUUAAACAGUACGUGAAAUUGUCAAAAGGGAAGCGUUUGACACCAGUGUUGUUUUUCUGAAAAUCAAUUAAGGAACUGUUUAUGCUAAGUUGUUUAGACUUUAUCAGCUAACUGUUUAGUUUUGAGCUUUUCUUUAAUGCACUUUUCAGUUAACAAGUCAACAUCAAUUUCUUUUGCUGUAAAAAAGCUUGAGGAAGGUGGCUUGAGAUUCGUCUUAAGUGUUUAUAGCCUCUUGCCUAUGCAGUCGGAGAGAUUGAGGUCUGCAGCGUAGAUCCUUCGGGGCUAAAUGCAUUUGUGCUAAGUUAUAGCAUUUUAUAGACAACUUGUUGACUAUGAUUUGUCUUGUAGCUUACUCGCUUAUGUUAUUUUACCUACGCUUAGGAUGUUGAGUCAUCACACAUCUCU